GUGGGGAAUAUUGGACAAUGGGGGCAACCCUGAUCCAGCCAUGCCGCGUGAAUGAUGAAGGCCUUCGGGUUGUAAAGUUCUUUUGGAGGGGACGAUGAUGACGGUACCCUCAGAAUAAGCUCCGGCUAACUUCGUGCCAGCAGCCGCGGUAAUACGAAGGGAGCGAGCGUUGUUCGGAAUUACUGGGCGUAAAGGGCGCGUAGGCGGUUUGGUUAGUCAGAUGUGAAAGCCCAGGGCUUAACCAUGGAACUGCGUUUGAUACUGCCAAGCUUGAAGUCGGGAGAGGGGCGUGGAAUUCCCAGUGUAGAGGUGAAAUUCGUAGAUAUUGGGAAGAACACCGGUGGUGAAGGCGGCUCACUGGACCGACAUUGACGCUGAGGCGCGAAAGCGUGGGGAGCAAACAGGAUUAGAAACCCGGGUAGUCC
rnacentral:rRNA from 1 species